GGCGGCAGGCUUAACACAUGCAAGUCGAGCGCUCGUAGCAAUACGGGAGCGGCAGACGGGAGAGUAACACGUGGGAACGUACCUUUCGGUUCGGAAUAACCCAGGGAAACUUGGGCUAAUACCGGAUACGUCCGUAAGGAGAAAGAUUUAUCGCCGGAAGAUCGGCCCGCGUCCGAUUAGCUAGUUGGUGUGGUAAUGGCGCACCAAGGCGACGAUCGGUAGCUGGUCUGAGAGGAUGAUCAGCCUCACUGGGACUGAGACACGGCCCAGACUCCUACGGGAGGCAGCAGUGGGGAAUAUUGGACAAUGGGCGCAAGCCUGAUCCAGCCAUGCCGCGUGGGUGAUGAAGGCCUUAGGGUUGUAAAGCCCUUUCGGCGGGGAAGAUAAUGACGGUACCCGCAGAAGAAGCCCCGGCUAACUUCGUGCCAGCAGCCGCGGUAAUACGAAGGGGGCUAGCGUUGCUCGGAAUCACUGGGCGUAAAGCGCACGUAGGCGGAUCUUUAAGUCAGGGGUGAUAUCCUGGAGCUCAACUCCAGAACUGCCUUUGAUACUG
rnacentral:rRNA from 1 species